rnacentral:lncRNA from 1 species
AACAGUUAAAAGCAAAAGGAAUGGAUAAACAGUCAACUACAGAAGGUCAACUGUGCAAAGCAAGACUCAAACACAUGAGUCAAACCAUCUGCAAAACAAAGGUUAGUUCACAUGUAAACCAAAUCCAAUCACAUUUGUAUGAUCUCAAUGGCAGUGGUGCUUAACCUGAAACAGGAACUCAAUAGUAAGCACAGAAAACCACUAGGACUAGCCUAGGGUCAAGGGUGAAAGAAAA